GCAGUCGCCGCGGUAAUACCGAGGGUGCGAGCGUUAAUCGGAUUUACUGGGCGUAAAGCGUGCGUAGGCGGCUUCUUAAGUCGGAUGUGAAAUCCCUGAGCUUAACUUAGGAAUUGCAUUCGAUACUGGGAAGCUAGAGUAUGGGAGAGGAUGGUAGAAUUCCAGGUGUAGCGGUGAAAUGCGUAGAGAUCUGGAGGAAUACCGAUGGCGAAGGCAGCCAUCUGGCCUAAUACUGACGCUGAGGUACGAAAGCAUGGGGAGCAAACAGGAUUAGAUACCCCGGUAGUCCCUGUCUCUUAUAC
rnacentral:rRNA from 1 species